UUUCCAACGAUGCGCAAUACGAACGGCCCUGCGUGUUCGUACUGUCCUCGGGAGUUCCUUUCCCUCGGAGGCACAGAUUAUCCUUCAACAAUCUUAUGCCCGCCCUUAUGACUAUCUCCAAUGUCAUAAGGAUGCUCGCUUAGUGCCACAAGGGUGUAAGCACCAGGGGUGGUGGAGAGCAUGAUACCAUGUCACCCCCUAUAUAGCAUUUUAUGCAUUUAGCCUUCUGCCAGGAGGGAACAUCACCUAUGCACGAGGAGUCAUAAUUGGGCAUAACUCCUUCAUACGAACUCCGAAUGGCGAACCGUCAGUUGCGUUUCCUGCGUCUCGACAUCACGGACAUUUCGGUAUUCUUGGUUCCCUCAGGUUCCUCCCAUAACCUUCGGAAAUACCCAAAAUACCCUUCACAAGUGCAACUUGGCCAACACCAACCAUUCUAGUUCUUAAGCUAUCGCCUGUCCACACUUAGAGUACCUCAUAAGCGCAUAGAUGUCCCAACGGAGUCACGGUAGCACUUGUCUAAAUGCGACCCGUGACAUUCUCCCCCACUGAUAAUGUCGACGUCCUCGUCGACGUGCCCCACUGCACUGCCGACUUUGGAAUCACGAUAGCACUCACUUAUGUGCAAUCCGUGACAUUCUCCCCCACUGAUAAUGGCGACGUCCUCGUCGACUUGCCCACUGCAUUGCUGCAUAACAACACCAUAUAGGAUUAUCCUCUUCUCUUCGCUCCAAGGACCACAAAGCACCACUGCCUUAACCCUUUUCAACUUUCUCUUUCAAAGUUGUACUCCUUUCCCUAUUCUUGGGCCGAGACCUCUGUCUCUUGUCGCACUCAACCUUUGAACAAUCACAUAGCUCGUUGGUCAAGUACUUCCACAUUUUCCACAUUCAAAGAGAUGCACCCCACUUGGGUGUGACUCGUAAGCCAACCGUGUGUCCUCCACGGCACCUCCAUUCCGUGCAUCUGCACUGCCAUACCUUCAUGGCAUUCAAGGUUCUCCCCUACUUAUCUCAUCAGCACCCAUCACCUCAGGGUGCCUCCAUAGCAAAGUUCCACAACACUUAGGCCAUCACAAUUCACCAAGGUUAAACAUCAUCCCUACUACGAGUAGAACCACCUGACUACCAACGCCCCAAACUCGGACUCGGCAGAACCACUUCUAUAGCAUCCACACGGGAACAAGCAAGAUGUCAACACCCAAGUUACUCCAACUUUGUCUGCCAUCAAGUGCGGACAUACUCCAUGUCCUUAGCAACCAUGCCCUCAAGUAAGAUUCCGGGAUCCCCCUUUUUUGGAACACUCCAUCGUUCCGGAUAUCAAUUAGCAAACUUAUGUCAAACAUUGUGCCUCACCCACCCGUUCUCAACAAUUGUAAAAGCAACCACUUAAGUGACUCCCUCAUUAAAGCCUAGCCCGUCAACAACUUACUCCCUCAAUAGAGCCUAGUUCAUCAGCGACUUACUCCCUUCGAAGACUGCACCAUUUCGGUCUUGAGCUUCCACAACUUUUCCCCGAACAAGGUCUUGCACCAUUCGUUCAACACUCAUCACCAACUGAAUUCAACCCAAAUGUCGAUGACAUGCUAUGGUUCGAGUAUCGCCUACCUCCAGCACUCUCACCAAACUCACACUGCCAUCUUCCUCAAACUUUAGCCUGGAACACGCAACAUCCUUUUGUCAACUGUGUACCCUCCAAGGCUCUUCAACAUGUCUUGCGCAUGUGCGCUACCAUACCUCAAUGGCUUUCGUGGGUCACCCCCCACUUAUCUCGUCAACGCCCUCUCACGUCAACGUACCUCCGAAGUGAAACUCUACUACACUUUAGACCUUCACACUUCACCAAGGUUUGAUGCCGUCCCUACUACAAGUAGAACCACCUAACAUCGCCCAAACUUGAACUCGGUAGAACAUACCUCCGUAGCAUCCACAAGGGAACAGGUAAGACAUCCUCCCUCAAUUUACUUAUGUAGCAUCUGUUUUGCGCAUGUGCGCUGCCAUACCCCAAUGGCAUUCGUGGGUCUCCCCCACUUAUCUCGUCGACGCACCCUCACGUCAACGUACCUCCGAAGCGAAGCUCUACUACACUUUAGGCCUUCAUAUUUCACCAAGGUUUAAUGUCAUCCCUACUACAAGUAGAACCACCUAACAUCGCCCAAACUUGAACUCGGUAGAACAUACUUCUGUAGCAUCCACAAGGGAACAAGUAAGACAUCCUCCCUUAAGUUACUUCAUCUUUGGCCUCCCAUCAAGUGCGGACAUCCCAAGUCCUUAGCCACCAUCUUCGCAAGAAAGACUCCGGGAUCCACCUUUGGAACACUCCUGCAUUCCGAAUAUUAGUCAGCAACCUUGUGUCAAACAUUGCACUUCACCCACACGUUCUCCACAAUUGCAAGAGCAACCACUUGAGUGACUCCUUCAUUAAAGCUUAGUCCAUUAGCAACUUACUCCCUCAAUGGAGCCUAGUCCGUCAGUGACUUACUUCCUUAAAAGACAGCCCCCUUUCGGCCUUCCGCCCUCACAAAUCUUCCCAGAACACAGGUCUCGCACUGUCUGCUCAACACUUGUUACCAACAAAGUUUGUCACAACCUUCAAUGGUAUGCCACGGUUCGAGUGCUAGCCAAUCUGAAACACUCUCACCAAACUCAUGCUCCCAUCCUCCCCACAUCCUGAACUGAACAAGCUACAUUACUUCACAAGCCAGUACCCCUGCCUACCCGACUUCCGGGCGCUUGGUGCACGGAUUAGAAAACUAGGCAACCGAGUAGCAACACCAACCAUCAUUCCACAUCUUAGAGUCAUCCUACUUGAUGUCUUCUCAAAACUUCGAGGCAAACUUUUGGAUACCUUCACCCUUCCAUAGGAUCCAGCACCAAGACGGGUUUCCAACAACCGUCACACAACUUGAUUCCAACAAUCAUCUACAGUGACGUUGGGUUCUUCAUCCAACUUCACAAGUACACUACCCAUUACAGGCAAUGACCUGCUACCUGGCUAUCAAAGUUUCUCAAUCACCAAUCUCUUCUAGGUACGAAUCUCUCACACAGAAACCACCAUCUGAAUCGAUCAGCUCCUUGACAUCCUUCUCUGAAUUAUUAGAGCUUUCGCUCUGAUACCAUCUGUCACGGGACGAGCGAGCGGCGCGGCGCGGCGGAAGCGAAACACACAUUUCGCCACUCAAAGCACGCCCGUGCGGCCCAGGAUCCCUUCGAAUCCUGGUCAGCCUUCUCCCACUUCAUGAUUCACAUGACUCUCACAACUCGCGAGAGGUUUACCUUCAAGUGUCGUCUUCCACUAGACAACGAGUCACACUACCGUGUGACAAUACAAUCACCCCGCAUCCGGCAACGAACCCUUGACGCCCAUACAUCAAGCGUUGCAUAAGACACGUCAACUGCAUCGACCACGUCGCAUGCUUUCCUCAUGUGUCGCUCAUGUCCAUGUCAAGACAUAGCGAUCUAACACACCAUCGGUUUACCCACACUUCUGUUGGUCAUUCCUUUAACGUCCACGAUAGCCCACAUCCUCAAGCUAUACACGCAAGCUGUUAUACUUGCAUGUCGCCCAAGCCUUGGCGACAUAUGUAUUCCGAAUGUCCCACAUAACCAUCUAUGUAUUGCGUGGGGUCGCGACCCAUGCGUAUCGGCAUCCGAAUAUCUUCCUUCAAUAUUGGACAAGGCCGAACCCAAGCCAAGUCCAUCGAGUAUUGUCAUAUGUCUCGCUAGCCGAUGGCAUAGCGAAUGCCAUAUGUUGACCUCACUCUUUCCAACGAUGCGCAAUACGAACGGCCCUGCGUGUUCGUACUGUCCUCGGGAGUUCCUUUCCCUCGGAGGCACAGAUUAUCCUUCAACAAUCUUAUGCCCGCCCUUAUGACUAUCUCCAAUGUCAUAAGGAUGCUCGCUUAGUGCCACAAGGGUGUAAGCACCAGGGGUGGUGGAGAGCAUGAUACCAUGUCACCCCCUAUAUAGCAUUUUAUGCAUUUAGCCUUCUGCCAGGAGGGAACAUCACCUAUGCACGAGGAGUCAUAAUUGGGCAUAACUCCUUCAUACGAACUCCGAAUGGCGAACCGUCAGUUGCGUUUCCUGCGUCUCGACAUCACGGACAUUUCGGUAUUCUUGGUUCCCUCAGGUUCCUCCCAUAACCUUCGGAAAUACCCAAAAUACCCUUCACAAGUGCAACUUGGCCAACACCAACCAUUCUAGUUCUUAAGCUAUCGCC
rnacentral:lncRNA from 1 species